GUGAUGUACUCCUACGGGAGGCAGCAGUGGGGAAUAUUGCACAAUGGGGGAAGCCCUGAUGCAGCCAUGCCGCGUGUGUGAAGAAGGCCUUCGGGUUGUAAAGCACUUUCAGUAGGGAGGAAGGUAGUGUAGUUAACACCUGCACUAUUUGACGUUACCUACAGAAGAAGCACCGGCUAACUCCGUGCCAGCAGCCGCGGUAAUACGGAGGGUGCGAGCGUUAAUCGGAAUUACUGGGCGUAAAGCGCAUGCAGGCGGCCUGUUAAGUCAGAUGUGAAAGCCCCGGGGCUUAACCUCGGAAUUGCAUUUGAAACUGGCAGGCUAGAGUCUUGUAGAGGGGGUAGAAUUUCAGGUGUAGCGGUGAAAUGCGUAGAGAUCUGAAGGAAUACCAGUGGCGAAGGCGGCCCCCUGGACAAAGACUGACGCUCAGAUGCGAAAGCGUGGGGAGCAAACAGGAUUAGAUACCCUGGUAG
rnacentral:rRNA from 1 species